AAAGAUGAAUCAAAGAAGGUAAUAAUCCUGUAGUCGAAAAUGUUGUCUCUCUUGAGUGGAUCCUGAGUACGACGGAGCACGUGAAAUUCCGUCGGAAUCUGGGAGGACCAUCUCCUAAGGCUAAAUACUCUCUAGUGACCGAUAGUGAACCAGUACCGUGAGGGAAAGGUGAAAAGCACCCCGGAAGGGGAGUGAAAUAGAACCUGAAACCGUGUGCUUACAAGUAGUCAGAGCCCGUUAAUGGGUGAUGGCGUGCCUUUUGUAGAAUGAACCGGCGAGUUACGAUUUGAUGCAAGGUUAAGCAGUAAAUGUGGAGCCGUAGCGAAAGCGAGUCUGAAUAGGGCGUUUAGUAUUUGGUCGUAGACCCGAAACCAGGUGAUCUACCCUUGGUCAGGUUGAAGUUCAGGUAACACUGAAUGGAGGACCGAACCGACUUACGUUGAAAAGUGAGCGGAUGAACUGAGGGUAGCGGAGAAAUUCCAAUCGAACCUGGAGAUAGCUGGUUCUCUCCGAAAUAGCUUUAGGGCUAGCCUCAAGUGAUGAUUAUUGGAGGUAGAGCACUGUUUGGACGAGGGGCCCCUCUCGGGUUACCGAAUUCAGACAAACUCCGAAUGCCAAUUAAUUUAACUUGGGAGUCAGAACAUGGGUGAUAAGGUCCGUGUUCGAAAGGGAAACAGCCCAGACCACCAGCUAAGGUCCCAAAAUAUAUGUUAAGUGGAAAAGGAUGUGGCGUUGCCCAGACAACUAGGAUGUUGGCUUAGAAGCAGCCAUCAUUUAAAGAGUGCGUAAUAGCUCACUAGUCGAGUGACACUGCGCCGAAAAUGUACCGGGGCUAAACAUAUUACCGAAGCUGUGGAUUGUCCUUUGGACAAUGGUAGGAGAGCGUUCUAAGGGCGUUGAAGCAUGAUCGUAAGGACAUGUGGAGCGCUUAGAAGUGAGAAUGCCGGUGUGAGUAGCGAAAGACGGGUGAGAAUCCCGUCCACCGAUUGACUAAGGUUUCCAGAGGAAGGCUCGUCCGCUCUGGGUUAGUCGGGUCCUAAGCUGAGGCCGACAGGCGUAGGCGAUGGAUAACAGGUUGAUAUUCCUGUACCACCUAUAAUCGUUUUAAUCGAUGGGGGGACGCAGUAGGAUAGGCGAAGCGUGCGAUUGGAUUGCACGUCUAAGCAGUAAGGCUGAGUAUUAGGCAAAUCCGGUACUCGUUAAGGCUGAGC
rnacentral:rRNA from 1 species